UGCAGCACCUGCUAUACAAAUCUCCGCAAGACUAAAAAGAUGGAGGGCCUCAAAAACAGCCUGGAUAAUGCAUGGGGGCAGGGGGUCUGGAAAAACCGGAAUGCGUCACAAGUGGUUUCUUCUGCUCAAGUUGCAGUGCAGAAACUUGCUGCCUUGGGCUAUAUGCCCAUUUUAUUUAUGGGCAGAAAAAAAAAAGAAUUAGUUGAUCGCCGAUAUAAAUUCUGGAAUACCACUCAAUGAGGACACACGACCUUUUGUUGACGCCAUAAAGAAGGCUUAUGAGUAUUUACUUAAAAAGCAAGGACCCCAGAUGUCUCCUUUACAUCCCCACCCUGACCAGCAUAUCCAAACCCCAACCCAGCCUGACCAGCAGAUCCAGCCCAAUCCUGACCAGCAGAUCCAAACCCCAAUUCAGCCUGACCAGUAGAUUCAACACCAUUCUGACUAGCAGAUUCAUACCCAUCCUGACCAGCAGAUCCAAACCCCAACCCAGCCUGACCAGCAGAUUCAGCACCAUUCUGACCAGCAGAUCCAGACCCAGACUGAAGCUCAACAGAUUGAUGAUGAUGUUAUCCUCAACCUCUAUUUUUUGCCCUCUCCAUCCCAUGUUCAGACUCACUCUGAAGAUCAAUAACUCCAGGUCCAGCCACAGCCCCAGCAAA